UAAAUUAAUCUUUAGUUUUAAAGUGUCUCGAAUUCUAGGGAGCUAAGAAUUUAUAUAUUUUAAUGUGAAAUAAUUAUUUAUAAUAUGUUUUUAGUUGUGAAAUGCUAGUCGUCCUGGAGUAUAUCUAGUUUUUUUAGAAAUGAAUUUAAUUCAGCCUGCUAGGGAAAUAAUUUUAUUAUUAAUUUGGUUUUUUUUGUAGUGUAAUAAUUAAUGGGAUAAGCUUUUAAUUAGAUACUUAUAAUUAUUAAUUUAUUAAUUGAUUUAUAGGGUUAGAAGUGCUCAUUAAUUGAAGUGUGUUAUAAUAGGUUAAUUGUUAAUUUGAUUUUGUUAUUUUUAGGUUAUUUAUAAGAAUAUUAGAUUGAAUUUUUAAGUUUAAGAAUUUAUGAUAAAAUUAGUAUAAUAUUAUGUGAUAAAUAAAUUGUAAUUGUAAGGUUAAGUUAAGGAACUCGGCAAAAUUAUUUCUUGCCUGUUUAAUAAAAACAUGUCCUUUUGUUAUAAUUUAAGGUCUGACCUGCCCAAUGAGUUUUGAAUGGCCGCGGUACUUUGACCGUGCAAAGGUAGCAUAAUCAUUAGUUUUUUAAUUGAAAGCUGGAAUGAAAGGUUGGACAAGGAAAUUACUGUCUCUAUUUAAUUUAAUUAGAAUUUUAUUUUUAGGUUAAAAAGCUUAAAUGAGUUUAAGGGACGAGAAGACCCUAUAGAAUUUUAUAUGUAAAUAUAAUUUAAGUUUUUGGAAUUUUAUUUUAAUUUGUUUUUACUUAUUUUGUUGGGGCGACAGGAAAAUUUAUUUAACUUUUCUUCAUUUUUUUCAUUAAUUUAUGUAUAUUUGAUCCACUGGUUGUGAUUAUAAGAUUAAAUUACCUUAGGGAUAACAGCGUAAUUAGUUUGGAGAGUUCAAAUUGAUAAACUAGUUUGCGACCUCGAUGUUGGAUUAAAAUUUACUUUUGGUGCAGAAGCUAAUAGGUUAAGUCUGUUCGACUUUUAAAAUUUU
rnacentral:rRNA from 1 species